ACUACGGGUGGCAGCAGUGGGGAAUAUUGGGCAAUGGGCGCAAGCCUGACCCAGCAACGCCGCGUGAAGGAAGAAGGCUUUCGGGUUGUAAACUUCUUUUCUCAGGGACGAAGAAAGUGACGGUACCUGAGGAAUGAGCCACGGCUAACUACGUGCCAGCAGCCGCGGUAAUACGUAGGUGGCAAGCGUUAUCCGGAUUUAUUGGGUGUAAAGGGCGUGUAGGCGGGAGCGCAAGUCAGAUGUGAAAACUCAGGGCUCAACCCUGAGCCUGCAUUUGAAACUGUGUUUCUUGAGUGCUGGAGAGGCAAUCGGAAUUCCGUGUGUAGCGGUGAAAUGCGUAGAGAUACGGAGGAACACCAGUGGCGAAGGCGGAUUGCUGGACAGUAACUGACGCUGAGGCGCGAAAGCGUGGGGAGCAAACAGGAUUAGAUACCCUUGUAGUC
rnacentral:rRNA from 1 species